rnacentral:rRNA from 1 species
GAUGAACGCUGGCGGCGUGCUUAACACAUGCAAGUCGAACGGAAAGGCUCCUGUUUGCAGGGGUACUCGAGUGGCGAACGGGUGAGUAACACGUGGGUGAUCUGCCCUGCACUUCGGUAUAAGCCUGGGAAACUGGGUCUAAUACCGGAUAGGACGAUGUUUUGGAUGCGGUUGUGGAAAGUUUUUCGGUGUGGGAUGAGCUCGCGGCCUAUCAGCUUGUUGGGGGGGUAGUGGCCUACCAAGGCGGCGACGGGUGGCCGGCCUGAGAGGGGGUGGGGCCACAUUGGCACUGAGAUACGGCCCACACUCCUACGGGGGGCAGCGGGGGGGAAUAUUGCACAAGGGGCGAAAGCGUGAUGCAGCGACGCCGCGUGGGGGAUGACGGCUUUCGGGUUGUAAACUCCUUUCGUCGGGGACAACGCGAAGGUGACGGAACCGGGUAAGGAAGCCCGGGCAACCUAGUU